rnacentral:rRNA from 1 species
AGUGAACGCUGGCGGUAGGCCUAACACAUGCAAGUCGAACGGCAGCACAGUAAGAGCUUGCUCUUACGGGUGGCGAGUGGCGGACGGGUGAGGAAUACAUCGGAAUCUACUUUUUCGUGGGGGAUAACGUAGGGAAACUUACGCUAAUACCGCAUACGACCUACGGGUGAAAGCAGGGGAUCUUCGGACCUUGCGCGAUUGAAUGAGCCGAUGUCGGAUUAGCUAGUUGGCGGGGUAAAGGCCCACCAAGGCGACGAUCCGUAGCUGGUCUGAGAGGAUGAUCAGCCACACUGGAACGGAGACACGGUCCAGACUCCUACGGGAGGCAGCAGUGGGGAAUAUUGGACAAUGGGCGCAAGCCUGAUCCAGCCAUACCGCGUGGGUGAAGAAGGCCUUCGGGUUGUAAAGCCCUUUUGUUGGGAAAGAAAAGCAGCAGGUUAAUACCCCGCUGUUCUGACGGUACCCAAAGAAUAAGCACCGGCUAACGUCGUGC